GAUCAUGGCUCAGGAUGAACGCUGGCGGCGUGCUUAACACAUGCAAGUCGAGCGAAGCACUUUACUUGGAUUUCUUCGGAAUGACGAGUAUUGUGACUGAGCGGCGGACGGGUGAAGGUAACGCGUGGGUAACCUGCCUCAUACAGGGGGAUAACAGUUAGAAAUGACUGCUAAUACCGCAUAAGACCACAGCACCGCAUGGUGCAGAGGUAAAAAACUCCGGUGGU
rnacentral:rRNA from 1 species